CGACUUAGCCUGGAUCAUCGACGAAUGCCUCCUAGAUUAAAGUUGAUCAUGGCUCAGAUCGAACGCUGUGCGGCAGGCCUUAAACAACAUUGGCCCAAAAGUCGGAAGCCGGGGAUGAGUGGAGCUUGCUCCAUAAUUUCCACACGCACAUCGGGACCCNNGGAGUGGAACACGGUGGGUCGAGAUUGNAGACAAACGUAUAAACAAAUUUUAUGGCCCCUAUUAAAAGGUGAAAAAAUUUUCCCUUUGCACCCCCAACAUUUUGGNGCGAAUUAAAAUAGNCCUUAUGGCAGGAGGCAGGGUCGGAAAACCCGAAAAAACACCCCAGAGGGCGUGAUUCUACNAUCACACCUUCACCCCUACAGGGCGAAUNUACAAANCUAANAUNACGGGAUGCGGGUGACAGACGAAGGGUACCCCAGUAUGUGGGUAGGCCCAUACAUAGAUUUUAUAAUAGCAAAAGAGNUUUUUAAAACAGAGACCGUGCNCCCAUGAUAGAGGGCGGACACCAUCAAGUCAAAAUAGUAUGUUUUUAAAAAAACGUACCCCCCACGAGGNGAUGANUGAUUUUACACCACGAUCCCCCCUGAGCGAUGUNUUUAAAAAAAUAGUCCCCAGAGGGGACAAUCAGGUGACGACAAGGGGGAGCAACAAAAAAUAGGAGGCAGAGACAAAAAACAAAACAGACAACACAAAACAACAGGGAGCAAACCCCACACAAACAACAGGAGCCACAGGGGNACCGGGAACACAAAGGGNGGNACAANAAAAACACCCAAAACACCCACAAACGUAUUUAUNAAUAUUUUUAUACACCCACAAAGGGGGAACAAACAAGGGAGACAACAGNGGAGAGAUANUAGCCCCNACNAAGCANCCCCGNCAACCGAAUNUUAUUUUUUUCCACUUUUUGUUAGNGGNGNAGNUAGAGCUAACCCCGCCAGAAGNNNGUGGAUGACGCACCCACCACACAGGUUUUUUCUACCAACACAGACGGUUUUUAUUCUACUCCACCAGAUGAUAAAACAUUAGCAGGUGCNAGCUACAANAANAACCAGAGGUUUUUUUUUAAGGGAGGGUAACACAAAAAAGCACUGCAGCAGGAGAGAUGCACACGCACUAUACACCANCCCGCAGAAUUUUUUUUUAACCAAAACAAUCGAUGAGGUNGUCACUCAAUCGGGGGGG
rnacentral:rRNA from 1 species